rnacentral:misc_RNA from 1 species
CAUGAUCUUGCGAGUCAAGGUGACACUUAUACCACUCCUUAUUACCAUGUCUGACCACAUGCCACCCAAGAAUCCCAUGAACGCCAUCAAACUCCAUGGUACAGCACUAAACCAUGCUGCUCGUUUGAGGUCAACAUGAAAUAUCGAGUUAAAGUAUAUAGGCAUCCAGGAAAGAAUAACAAAAAAUCCCCAGCUAUGCAUGGCAUUUGCAACAAUUAAGGACCAUGUUGGCAUUUUAGACAACAAGCGUCUGAAUGGAGGGAUAACUCUGGCCUUAGUAUUAUUCUCUGUCGGAAAAGAUUUCUGCUUCUUGCCCAUAAUAUACUCCAAUUCACAUCUUGAAAUCUGGGAACUUUGAUAAGGUGUACUUGAUAUUGCAGAAAACCAAACCAAAACCCAAAGGAAUCCAGAUAGUCCAAAAAUUACAAAUGGCCCAAAUAUUCCACCUUGUGACAUGAGGAUUGGGGAUAGCGUCAGUCCUAUUGCACAUCCAAGCUGAAAUCCAGCCAUUGCAAUUCCAACAGCCCUGGCACGUUCUGUCGGUGGAAACCAUCUUGCUACCAUGCUGUUCAUGCAAGGAA